AAAGGUGGCUUCCACAGUGCAUAGUGGUUAUCAGCUGUGCCUCCCUCUUAGAGGUCCUCGGAGUCCAGAGUCCUCGAAGGGAAAACUGACACAAAGAAGCAGCAGGUAAAUGAAGGAGAAAAGAAAAGAACAAAAUCCACCGGGAACCAGAGACUUCCAGGCUCCAAAGACAGGCAAUCUCCACCAGGAAGCAUUUCACUAAAUUCUUGGAGGAGUCUGAGAGAACUUGGGGGCGCUUGAGGAACCCAAAGGUGUGAAGUAAAAGCUGGAAACCAAGAUUGCUGGGAAAGUUCAGAGAAAGUAGAGAUACUUCGUUUGAUGGAGAUCACAUGCAAGGGAGUCUACUCCAAGAUCAAAGGCAACCUAUAGCAAUUUAUGAGAAAUGAAGGAAGUGGGAGAGAUGCUAAGUUACUUUAAGGGAUGUUCUGAAAUCAUGAAUCUAGCUGGAAUAGCUGGUGUUGGCUGUGUCCAGAAGAGCUGGGACAAGUACAGACAGGAUUUCCACAUGUCGCCAGGCUGAUCUCAGACCUGGAUCUUCCCACCUCAGCCUCUGAACGUGCUGGGAUUACAGUUGAAGGUCUGGAAUGGAAACUCCUAUUGUGAUCUUAAGGGCUGUAACCCAGAGAAUCUGGUUCUUCCUGGAGUAUUUCAGCAGGGAUCAGCUUAAAUAGGUCCACUUGAAGUUCACAACUGCCAAAACCGCGUGUUCAGACUGAAAGGCUGGGAGCAUUUCAGACGCAUUUAUGAACUUCCACCAAGAUGAUCCGGCAGGCUGAAAUCGCAGGGAGAGCGUCUGUUCAACAAACCCUUUCUUCUUGAUUGAAUUAGUGUUGCCCACUAACAGGAUGAGGAAUUCCCACUCCACAAGCUGACUUUUUUUCCUCUUUCCACCUCCCGCCUCCCUCCAUUAAAAUGUAAACUUGA